rnacentral:rRNA from 1 species
AUUGAACGCUGGCGGCAGGCUUAACACAUGCAAGUCGAGCGAGCGGCGGACGGGUGAGUAACGCCUGGGAAACUGCCGGAUGGAGGGGGAUAACUAUUGGAAACGGUAGCUAAUACCGCAUACCAUUAGAUGUGCCCAUGUGUGAUUAGCUGGUUGGCGGGGUAAUGGCUCACCUAGGCGACGAUCCCUAGCUGGUCUGAGAGGAUGACCCGCCACACUGGGACUGAGACACGGUCCAGACUCCGACGGGAGGCAGCAGUGGGGAAUAUUGCACAAGGGGCGCAAGCCUGAUGCAGCCAUGCCGCGUGUCUGAAGAAGGCCUUCGGGUUGUAAAGGACUUUCAGCGAGGAGGCGGUACUCGAAGAAGAAGCACCGGCUAACUCCGUGCCAGCAGCCGCGGUAAUUC